rnacentral:misc_RNA from 1 species
GAUGAAGAACGUAGCGAAAUGCGAUAAGUAGUGUGAAUUGCAGAAUUCAGUGAAUCAUCGAAUCUUUGAACGCACAUUGCGCCCCUUGGUAUUCCAUGGGGCAUGCCUGUUCGAGCGUCAUUUGUACCUUCAAGCUCUGCUUGGUGUUGGGUGUUUGUCUCGCCUCUGCGUGUAGACUCGCCUCAAAACAAUUGGCAGCCGGCGUAUUGAUUUCGGAGCGCAGUACAUCUCGCGCUUUGCACUCAUAACGACGACGUCCAAAAGUACAUUUUUACACUCUUGACCUCGGAUCAGGUGGGGAUACCCGCUGAACUUAAGCAUAUCAAUAAGCGGAGGA